UACGUAGGGUGCAAGCGUUAAUCGGAAUUACUGGGCGUAAAGCGUGCGCAGGCGGUGAUGUAAGACAGAUGUGAAAUCCCCGGGCUCAACCUGGGAAUUGCAUUUGAGACUGCGUAGCUAGGGUGCGGAAGAGGGAAGCGGAAUUUCCGGUGUAGCGGUGAAAUGCGUAGAUAUCGGAAGGAACACCAGUGGCGAAGGCGGCGACCUGGGCCAAUAUUGACGCUGAGGUGCGAAAGCGUGGGGAGCAAACAGG
rnacentral:rRNA from 1 species